GACUCCAACCACCGGUUCAGCAGGUUUUCUGGAGGAAACUCUGCAGGGUUUCUGGAUGAUGUUUCCUGAUCCAGCUCCCCAAUCUUGACUUGAAAUUUGCUAUGCUGAGUCUAGCAGCCAGCAGGAGGAGGAAGAGGAGGCGGCGGACCGUCCCCCUGUGUUGUGGUAAGGAGACUGAGGCAGGGUUGACAGGGGCUGGACUGAUGACAGCAUCCUCCUCCGCUCUGAGGCUCCAACACCUGACCGCCUCCAUCAGAGCCGCACAGAUCAUGGAGCUGCCGGGUUAUCCCGACGCCACCAUUUCACAAAAUGCUCCGCAGACGCAUCCGCGUAAAUAUUCAACUUCAGCUGCUUAAUCUGGUCUGUUCUCCCCCCCAACUUGAUCAUUCACUGGCCUGUAGCUUUCGGAUUUUCAUUUAGUGCGUGACCGAGUCGAGUCGAGGUGCUUCUUGUUUUCCUGAAGAGAAAAAAAACAAAAGCUGACUGAUCCUGCCUCGCUAUUACAACCAAGGAUCAGACAUGGGUGCAAUCGAAUCACCAACGCCGGCCGGAUUAUGGAGCAGAUUUUCCUUUUCCUCAUGAUACAACAGUCAGCUCGAUCUAGGCUUCAGUCAAGCAAACAAAUGAUCCAAUCAAU